rnacentral:rRNA from 1 species
CCUACGGGGGGCAGCAGUGGGGAAUAUUGCACAAUGGGGGAAACCCUGAUGCAGCGACGCCGCGUGAGUGAAGAAGUAUUUCGGUAUGUAAAGCUCUAUCAGCAGGGAAGAAAAUGACGGUACCUGAUUAAGAAGCCCCGGCUAACUACGUGCCAGCAGCCGCGGUAAUACGUAGGGGGCAAGCGUUAACCGGAUUUACUGGGUGUAAAGGGAGCGUAGACGGGAGCACAAGUCUGGAGUGAAAUGCCGGGGCUUAACCCCGGAACUGCUUUGGAAACUGGGCAGCUAGAGUGCGGGAGAGGUAAGUGGAAUGCCUGGUGUAGCGGUGAAAUGCGUAGAUAUUAGGAGGAACACCAGUGGCGAAGGCGGCUUACUGGACUGUAACUGACGUUGAGGCACGAAAGCGUGGGGAGCGAACAGGAUUAGAUACCCUUGUAGUC